CCUACGCGUACGCAGCAGUGGGGAAUAUUGGACAAUGGGCGAAAGCCUGAUCCAGCCAUGCCGCGUGUGUGAAGAAGGCCUUCGGGUUGUAAAGCACUUUCAGUGGGGAAGAAAGCCUUGGGGCUAAUACCCUCGAGGAAGGACAUCACCCACAGAAGAAGCACCGGCUAACUCCGUGCCAGCAGCCGCGGUAAUACGGAGGGUGCGAGCGUUAAUCGGAAUUACUGGGCGUAAAGCGCGCGUAGGCGGUCUGAUAAGCCGGUUGUGAAAGCCCCUGGCUCAACCUGGGAACGGCAUCCGGAACUGUCAGGCUAGAGUGCAGGAGAGGAAGGUAGAAUUCCCGGUGUAGCGGUGAAAUGCGUAGAGAUCGGGAGGAAUACCAGUGGCGAAGGCGGCCUUCUGGACUGACACUGACGCUGAGGUGCGAAAGCGUGGGUAGCAAACAGGAUUAGAUACCCUGGUAGUC
rnacentral:rRNA from 1 species